rnacentral:misc_RNA from 1 species
AAGUCGUAACAAGGUUUCCGUAGGUGAACCUGCGGAAGGAUCAUUAAAGAGUUAGGGUCUUCGGGCCCCAUCUCCAACCCUAUGUUUAACUACCAUGUUGCUUUGGCGGGCCCGUCUUACGACCGCUGGAGGUGUCGGUUUCACCGAUACUUCUAGCCCGUGCCCGUCAGUGGCCCCAACAAAUUCUUGAUCAAUUAUGACGUCUUAGUUAUAAACUUAAUAGUUAAAACUUUCAACAACGGAUCUCUUGGUUCUG